CAACGCCGCGUGGAGGAUGAAGUCCCUUGGGACGUAAACUCCUUUCGGACCGGGACGAUAAUGACGGUACCGGUGGAAGAAGCCCCGGCUAACUUCGUGC
rnacentral:rRNA from 1 species